CAAACUGGGAUUAGAUACCCCACUAUGCUCAGCCCUAAACAUAAAUAGUUCUAACAACAAAACUAUCUGCCAGAGAACUACUAGCAACAGCUUAAAACUCAAAGGACUUGGCGGUGCUUUACAUCCCUCUAGAGGAGCCUGUUCU
rnacentral:rRNA from 1 species